rnacentral:piRNA from 1 species
UUGGUCACUUUUAUACGAUUCAUCAAGGACC